GUGGGCGUAGCUCAGUUGGUAGAGCACAGGAUUGUGGCUCCUUGUGUCGUGGGUUCGAUUCACAUCGUCCCCCCCA
rnacentral:tRNA from 1 species